GGGACCCCAUCAACGUAGAGAACCUACUGCCAUCAAAAAUAAGGAUCAAUCUAGAAGAAAAUGUACAGUAAUUUACCACUAGACUGUGAGCUCCGCGAGAGACAUUUGUUCAUAGUCGCUCUCAGCGCCCUGUACCACGCCUAGUCCAAAACAAGCGCCCAGUGAAUGUCCAGCAAACUCAUGAAUGGGCGAGUGCAACGUGGGGCUGAUGGAACCUGGUUUGUGCAGAAGUCUGGGAGCAUCCUUAGUGUGUUAAACCUCUCCUGCUUUACAAGAGAUUUGAAGCAGCCUGAAAUAACAAUCAUGUAUACAAAGUAGGGAUCCAAAAUUAAAGUAUU
rnacentral:lncRNA from 1 species